rnacentral:rRNA from 1 species
GACGAACGCUGGCGGCGUGCUUAACACAUGCAAGUCGAGCGGUAAGGCUCCUUCGGGAGUACACGAGCGGCGAACGGGUGAGUAACACGUGAGUAAUCUGCCCUUCACUUCGGGAUAACCACCGGAAACGGUGGCUAAUACCGAAUACGACCAGUCUUCGCAUGAGGUGCUGGUGGAAAGUCUUUUCGGUGAAGGAUGUGCUCGCGGCCUAUCAGCUUGUUGGUGGGGUAAUGGCCUACCAAGGCUUCGACGGGUAGCCGGCCUGAGAGGGUGACCGGCCACACUGGGACUGAGACACGGCCCAGACGCCUACGGGAGACAGCAGUGGGGAAUAUUGGACAAUGGGCGAAAGCCUGAUCCAGCAACGCCGCGUGAGGGAUGACGGCCUUCGGGUUGUAAACCUCUUUCAGUACCGACGAAGCGCCCUGUCGGGUGGUGACGGUAGGUACAGAAGAAGGACCGGCCAACUACGUG